GCGCGAAACCUCUGCAAUAGGCGAAAGCCUGACAGGGUUACUCUGAGUGAUUCCCGCUAAGGGGAUCUUUUGGCACCUCUAAAAAUGGUGCAGAAUAAGGGGUGGGCAAGUCUGGUGUCAGCCGCCGCGGUAAUACCAGCACCCCGAGUGGUCGGGACGAUUAUUGGGCCUAAAGCAUCCGUAGCCGGUCAUGCAAGUCCUCCGUUAAAUCCACCUGCUUAACAGAUGGGCUGCGGAGGAUACUACAAGGCUAGGAGGCGGAAGAGGCAAGCGGUACUCAGUGGGUAGGGGUAAAAUCCUCUGAUCCAUUGAAGACCACCAGUGGCGAAGGCGGCUUGCCAAUACGCGCUCGACGGUGAGGGAUGAAAGCUGGGGGAGCAAACCGGAUUAGAUACCCGGGUAGUCCCAGCUGUAAACGAUGCAGACUCGGUGAUGGGCCGGCUUUAUGCCGGCUCAGUGCCGCAGGGAA
rnacentral:rRNA from 1 species